GCAUUGGAAGUUAGAGAUAGUAAACGGGAGGCAUGUUUACCAUCCAUUGUAAAAGAUGUGGCUGCCCUAAGUUCUCUCUAUUCCUCUCCUUAUAAUGCAGCUUACUGUGUGUGCUGGUGUCACUUGACCCUCUCUGCAUUACCCCAGGGGCAUCAGGACUUGGAGAACUGGCAUAAAAAUGCUGCUACUCUGGCUACUACCAUUGCUCGCUCAUUUAUGACCUCGCGCACUGAAUGCCUUAGAAAAGGCUCUUCUAAAUGCCCAGGGAAUCUGGAGGCACACUUGGCUUGGGGACUGUUCAGCUCAUCUUUUCCCGGAAGUCUUCAUCUAACAGAGGUAAGAUUGCCCUCUCCUUUGACAUCUAGGUUUGUGCUGCUGUUCAGUAUUUUAAAACCACACACAUUUUGCUUAGAUACGCAAAUAUAGUUGGUCCUCUAUAUCUGUAGACUUGACCAAUCGCAGAUCAAAAUAUUUUUAAAAACAGUAAAACUAAUGACACAACAAUUAAAAAUAACACAAAUUUUAAAAAUACAGUGAAAUGACAAUUUACUUUUUUUUUUUUUUUUUUUUUUUUAACAGAGUCUCACUCUGUCACCCAGGCUGGAGUGCAGUGGCAUGAUCUCGGCUCACUGCAACCUCCACCUCCUGGGUUCAAAUGAUUUUCCUGCCUCAGACUCCUGAAUAGCUGGGAUUACAGGUGCCCGCCACCAUGCCCAGCUAAUUUUUGUAUUUUUAGUAGUAUGGGGUUUCACCAUGUUGGUCAGACUGGUGUCGAACUUCUGUCCUCAAGUGAUCUGCCCACCUCAGCUUCCCAACGUGCUGGGAUUACAGGUGUGAGUCACUGUGCCGGGCCAUAUUUAAAUAUUUUUUAUUCUAUUAGGUAUUAUAAGUAACUUCAAGAUAAUUUAAAGUGUACAGGAGGAUGUGCAUAGGUUACAUGCAAAUACUACACUAUUUUAUAUCAGGGAUUUGAGCAUCUGUGAAUUUUGAUAUCCACAGGGGAUCUGGAGCCAAUCCCCUACGGAUUUUGAGGGAUGACUGUAUAAAUAAGAGAUCUGUAAAGAACAGCAAGGGAGUGAUUACUCCAAAAGUAAGGAAAAUGCUUGCUUGGAGGUGGGAAGGAGAGGAUGUGAUUAGGGAGGGAUGCACAGGAAGCUUCUAAAGUUCUAGUAAUGACCUAUUUCUUAACCAGGAUAUUGUAUGCACAUGUACAUGGAUCUUUAUCAUUUUUCAUACUGUGCAAUUUUAUACUCUUCUGAAUGUAUGAUACAUUUCAUAAUAAAAAUAAUUGAAGAAAGUUUAAUAUUCU
ensembl:lncRNA